rnacentral:lncRNA from 1 species
ACAUGUGCACAAAUGUGUGUGUGUGUUCAGUCCACAUGUGGCUUCUGUGAUUUGUUUCAUGCUUUAAAAGUACUCCUUAAAAUUGUAACAUUUGCCAGUUACCCCCCCCCUCCCCGGAGCUGGGACGGAACCCCCAGGGCCUUGCACUUGCUAGGCAAGUGCUCUACCACUGAGCUAAAUCCCCAACCCCUGCCAGUUACAUUUUGUUCAUUUUUCUUGUUCCUGUGCUGCUGGGAAUCCAACCCUGUGGAGUGUCAAGGGCAAGUGCUCUCUACUAAUCUUUACUAUUACUUUCAUGAUUUUCUUUUGCCCCUUUUAAAUCAUAUUUAACUCUUUAUAUUUUUUUAAAUAAAAAAUUGUAUUUACUUAGAAGUAGUCAGAAUAUCAACAAAACGGCCACUUUUUUUUUUUUUUUUUUGCAAUCACAGAGUGGUAUUCAGUGAACUGAACAAGAGUUAUCUUCCUAUAAGCUGCAUCAGAGACCACUGAAGAUGAAAAAAACACCAAAAAAUAAAACCAAAAGAGAAUAAAAAAAAAAAAA